CAGGAAACCAGGGGUGCCUUCCCCAAAAACUAUGUGAAGUUACAACGCGUUGUGGACACGUCCAACGAGAAUGUUUGUCCCAGCACCGCCGAUCUUCACUUCAUCAAGCAAACACUCGACGAAUGGAUGGUAUACCUGAAGAAACUCUUUGUGGCAAACGAUCCACGGUACGGAGCGGUUCUGACACACAUGCGUAUCCUAAUGAACCUGUACACUCAGAUAACUUGGGGCAAGCUGCCUCAGGAGAAGCUGAAGAAGAUCUGCAAAAUAGCACGCUUCCAGAUAGA